CCUGGAUGCCGUUGCAAGCAGCCAAGGCAAAUGUGAAAAACACAAAGAGAUUUUUGAAAAAAUCACUUGAGGAAAACAUGUAAGACCGUUAGGAGCCUUUUAUUCCUCAAAGCCCAGCCAGGAAACAAACAAGAUAACUUGGCCAAGGUUGCUCUUGGCACUGAAUAGGAACUAAGCACUGCAUCUGUUCAGCUACUGACACAUUGCCUUCUCACUGUGAUCUGGGAAAUAAGGAGAGUCAGCUCUGCACUGGACAGUUGGACUACAACUCUCACUAUCCCUGGCUUUUGCUCAGGGUGGCUGGAGUUCUUCGCUUUGCACAAGGGGUUUCCUGCCAACCCAGCUGAGAAAAAAUGGCCUUCCUGAUUCCAACUGCAACAAAAUCUGAGAAGUGGAAAGCCUUUGCCAUAACAUAGGGAUGUACCGUAACCUUCCUGGAGGCCUUUGGGGCAGGUGGCAUGGAAACCACAUACUACCCCUGGGAAGUGUCAUUAGUGCCUAAGGAGGCAGGAUAUGCCCGAUUCCAGUUCAAGACUAACAAGGACUCUUGUGGGUUCAUAAAGGCUGGCAAGUAUUAUUUUGCAGAUGUUCUCAAGAUGCAUCUACUGAA